ACUCAAAUGAAUUGACGGGGGCCCGCACAAGCGGUGGAGCAUGUGGAUUAAUACGUCACUAACCGUAGAACCUUACCCAGGCUUGACAUCCCGGGAAGACCUCUCAAAGGAGGUUGUGCCGCGCAAGCGGAACCCGGAGACAGGUGUUGCAUGGCUGUCGUCAGCUCGUGUCGUGAGAUGUUGGGUUAAGUCCCGCAACGAGCGCAACCCUCACCGCCUGUUGCCAGCACGCAAGGUGGGCACUCUGGCGGAACUGCCCGGGUAACCGGGAGGAAGGUGGGGACGACGUCAAGUCAGCAUGGCCCUUACGCCUGGGGCUUCACACAUGCUACAAUGGCCGGUACAGAGGGUUCCGAGGCCGCGAGGCGGAGGCAAUCCCAAAAAGCCGGUCUCAGUUCGGAUCGCAGGCUGCAACUCGCCUGCGUGAAGUCGGAAUCGCUAGUAACCGCCGGUCAGCUAAACGGCGGUGAAUACGUUCCCGGGCCUUGUACACACCGCCCGU
rnacentral:rRNA from 1 species